GAUGAACGCUGGCGGCGUGCCUAAUACAUGCAAGUCGAGCGAACAGACGAGGAGCUUGCUCCUCUGACGUUAGCGGCGGACGGGUGAGUAACACGUGGAUAACCUACCUAUAAGACUGGGAUAACUUCGGGAAACCGGAGCUAAUACCGGAUAAUAUAUUGAACCGCAUGGUUCAAUAGUUAAAGACGGUUUUGCUGUCACUUAUAGAUGGAUCCGCGCCGCAUUAGCUAGUUGGUAAGGUAACGGCUUACCAAGGCGACGAUGCGUAGCCGACCUGAGAGGGUGAUCGGCCACACUGGAACUGAGACACGGUCCAGACCCCAACGGGAGGCAGCAGUAGGGAAUCUUCCGCAAUGGGCGAAAGCCUGACGGAGCAGCGCCGCGUGAGUGAUGAAGGUCUUCGGAUCGUAAAACUCUGUUAUUAGGGAAGAACAAAUGUGUAAGUAACUAUGCACGUCUUGACGGUACCUAAUCAGAAAGCCACGGCUAACUACGUG
rnacentral:rRNA from 1 species